GAGCAGGGGGAGUAUGUACUUUUUGCUUUGCCUAAUUUUGGCUCGUUGGUAAUGGUAAUAGUGUAAAUGUGUUUUUCUUUUUAUUAUAACCCAAAUGUUGGAACUCAUCGGAGAAAUCCAUACAUCUAAAAGUCAAUGCAAAAUACAAAAGUCUAACUCAAAAACAUUUAAAAAAUGAUGAUCUUUACUAUUGUUUUCUUGUGAAGAUGGGGGAAGGGUUUCAGUGCAUAUGUUAGAACAAAACUCCCUAAAAGUCCUCUGUAAGCAUCUUUCUUCCGUAAAGUUAGUUUCACUCCACAUAGCAGCUGCUCUACUUCUUCCCUUUUCACUUUCUCUUUCCCACCAUUUGCCUGAAGCUCCUCAUCCCCUUCCUUGUGCCUCCUCAGAAUUCUACCAGUGCACCUCAUUCAGACAUUCAUCAAGAAAAAGGCCAGCUGAAGGCAGACAGCCAACAAAACCCAGUCGUUAGCCACAGCCCUGGCUGUCCUCGUCCAUCAAGCCUGCCCAUUGGGAGCUUCCAUUCAUCUUACCUGUCUGUUAUGGAAGAGCUCAGUGAAGUGGAAAAGGCACGGAGGACUCAGAAGACCUGCUACCAAGAAGCAGUGUGCCCCAUUGCAAUCAGAAGAUUAUUUAUGGAAAAAAGCAAAAUGGAGAUAUUUAAAAGACUGAGAGAGACAGCAGAAAGCUGCUUAAGAAAUUGCUCUGAGUCCACAGGAGGGAAGCACAAAGGAGAUGGGAUAAUAGUGUUAUACACUACAUGGAACCCUGGCAGCCAGACAAUAAGAAGGCUAAAAAACAACAACAACAACAACAACAAAAAUCACCUCUAUUUGGCCUACUACUCCCUCAAACAUUAAACUAUUUGCCUUGAAAAGAACAAAGAAAGUAUGUAAGUAAUAUGUUUAAAUUCAACUUCUUAGAAAGUGGAGUGAUUUAGCUAGGGUUGGCUUCGAUCAAUCUGAGACCUCCAAAGCCUCAAAAUGUAUUAUUUAGAACUGUGAAAAAAUUCACCUUUAGAUACUCCUCUGUCCUGUCCUCAUGAAAUGUUUACAGUGUGGUACAUAGAUGCAUACAAAAUUGUACAACUCAUGAUGGGGAAAAAAGGCAGAUUGCAUUCAUUUUCGAUGGAAGAAUCGGUAGUUCAUAGUUUUUCUCCCACAAUUUGCCUCAUUUAUCCCAAGAUUGUGUAUCACUGUGAGCUCACUGAUGGCAGGGAACAUACCUUACUCAAUUUUUAAGACUUUUACAAUUUGGAAUAAUUUUAGAUUUAUGGAAAAGUUGCAAAGAUAUUAUAGAAAAUUCUCAUAUAUCCUUCACCCAGCAUCCCCUAACAUUAUCAUUUUACAUAACCAGGGUACAUUUGUUAAAACUAAGAAGUUACAUUAGUACAAUGCUAUUAAUUAAACUACAGACUUUAUCCAGAUUUCGCCAGAUUUUCCACAAAUAUCCUUUCACUAUUCUGGAAUUCAAGCCAGGAUACCACAUUCCAUUUAGAUCACUGUUGCGUUUAGAUCAUUUUUGCAUUUAGAUCUUAUUCACUUUUAUAUUUCUGGUACCCAGGAUGGUGACUAAUAGGUACUCAGUGUAUAUUUGCCGAGAGAACAAGCCAGAAAAUCCAACUAGAAUUGAAUGCUCACAUACUGAAGAGGGG